AACUUGCCUUGCAAUGCUGACCUAUGAAUCAAAGUGUUCUUAUACCCUCAUCACUGACCUUAAUUUCCACAAAUAUAACGAAAUGCAGAUAAAACCAGCUGUGUUAGAAGCCUGUCUGUUACACUCAAAUAGUACUGUUUGUGAAAGUUUCAUCAGUUUUGGAUUUAAAGAAAUUCAAAGGGGUAUUAGUUGCAAGAUUAGAUCAAGCCAAAAAAAAAAAAAAAAAUCAUGAAUUCGUGCAGAAAGAAUCCAGAAAGUUGAUCUGAAUUUCCCCCCUAAAAGAAGAGAGAGAAAUAAAACUCCUCCACUCAAGAUAUGAACAUAAAUAGAAGCAUUUAGUUCUAGCAACUAAAAACAUUCUGACACUCAUAGACACGGCUAUGAUCAUGCUGGAAAAACUCCCUUAUCAUCAGAUUAAGUACAAUAUUCAAAUCGAAUUCAGUUCACCUCUUCGCAUCAACUGGAACUUUGACUGUAGCAAAGCAAAUAUUGAUAAUGUUAGGAAAUGGUCUCAUUUGAUCUGACAAAACGGGCUUAUA